rnacentral:rRNA from 1 species
UACGGAGGGUGCAAGCGUUAUCCGGAUUCACUGGGUUUAAAGGGUGCGUAGGCGGACUUGUAAGUCAGUGGUGAAAUCUCUCAGCUUAACUGAGAAACUGCCAUUGAUACUGCAGGUCUAGAGUACAGAUGAUGUGGGCGGAAUAUGACAUGUAGUGGUGAAAUACUUAGAUAUGUCAUAGAACACCGAUUGCGAAGGCAGCUCACAAAACUGUAACUGACGCUGAGGCACGAAAGUGCGGGGAUCAAACAGG